CCGGCACGGGUGAGUAACACGUAUCCAACCUGCCGUCUACUCUUGGACAGCCUUCUGAAAGGAAGAUUAGUACAAGAUGGCAUCAUGAGUCCGCAUGUUCACAUGAUUAAAGGUAUUCCGGUAGACGAUGGGGAUGCGUUCCAUUAGAUAGUAGGCGGGGUAACGGCCCACCUAGUCUUCGAUGGAUAGGGGUUCUGAGAGGAAGGUCCCCCACAUUGGAACUGAGACACGGUCCAA
rnacentral:rRNA from 1 species